AGAGUUUGAUCCUGGCUCAGGAUGAACGCUGACAGAAUGCUUAACACAUGCAAGUCAACUUGAACUUCGGUUUGGGUGGCGGACGGGUGAGUAACGCGUAAAGAACUUGCCUCACAGUUAGGGACAACAUUUGGAAACGAAUGCUAAUACCUGAUAUUAUGAUUUUAGGGCAUCCUAGAAUUAUGAAAGCUAUAUGCGCUGUGAGAGAGCUUUGCGUCCCAUUAGCUAGUUGGAGAGGUAACGGCUCACCAAGGCGAUGAUGGGUAGCCGGCCUGAGAGGGUGAACGGCCACAAGGGGACUGAGACACGGCCCUUACUCCUACGGGAGGCAGCAGUGGGGAAUAUUGGACAAUGGACCAAGAGUCUGAUCCAGCAAUUCUGUGUGCACGAUGAAGUUUUUCGGAAUGUAAAGUGCUUUCAGUUGGGAAGAAAAAAAUGACGGUACCAACAGAAGAAGUGACGGCUAAAUACGUGCCAGCAGCCGCGGUAAUACGUAUGUCACGAGCGUUAUCCGGAUUUAUUGGGCGUAAAGCGCGUCUAGGUGGUUAUAUAAGUCUGAUGUGAAAAUGCAGGGCUCAACUCUGUAUUGCGUUGGAAACUGUGUAACUAGAGUACUGGAGAGGUAAGCGGAACUACAAGUGUAGAGGUGAAAUUCGUAGAUAUUUGUAGGAAUGCCGAUGGGGAAGCCAGCUUACUGGACAGAUACUGACGCUAAAGCGCGAAAGCGUGGGUAGCAAACAGGAUUAGAUACCCUGGUAGUCCACGCCGUAAACGAUGAGUGCUAAGU
rnacentral:rRNA from 1 species